CAUUGUGCUAGUGUUCCGAGCUCAGUGGACCCUGUUUGCCACGUUGCAGGAGCCUGCUGUGUCAACCAGAAAGCCAAGGGUUCAGUUGGCAGAGUCCUUUAAGUUGAAAAAGGUUACCCUGGAGUAAAAUCGACAGCAUGAAUUUACAAUGAAAGAUCAGCAUACACACGUGGGGAAAAAAAUCACCUUGAAGUCAGCAGAAACAGCCAAUUUAGACCUUUAAAGUCUUCAGCAAUUCCUUCAGUUAUGAACUUUGACCAGUUUUGGCACGAGAAGCACAAACAAAUUUGACAGAAAAGCACAUUCCAUGCUGCUUGAAGUGGGAGGAAAGAGGACUUACCCAUUAUUCAGCCUUUGCCUUCCUCCGGCUCCAGCCAAGACGUAUGUUUAUCGUGCUAGAACAACUCGGACCGUGAAGGAACACAGCCAGAGCUAGAGCAGCCUCUGCACCUCCAGGGAACUUGCUAGAAAUGCAGAUUCUCAGGCCCCAGCCCAGACCUACUGAAUCAGAAGCUCUGAGAGUGGAGUCCAGCAAUCUGUGUUUCAACAAGCGCAUGGUGGCUCGCUCCGAUGCCUGAUAAAGUUUGGGAACCACCCGCACCAAAGAAUAAAGGACUAACAACCAUAAGUAACAUCCUAGGUGAAAAUAAACAAACCAAAGAAGACAAAUGUACAAGUUCCAAAAAGAAAAAUCAAAAAACCAAACAGAGUGUUGGAGAAUCCCACAAAUCUCAGUCAGCCAGACUCAGACUGUGCUGGUUCCUCGCAUGAUGGCAGAAAAUGGGACAAGAACUCAGAACGUGUGUUGCCUGUGGCUGGAACCGUCAUCUCAUUGUC